GACGAACGCUGGCGGCGUGCUUAACACAUGCAAGUCGAACGGACAGGCCCUGCUUUUGUGGGGUGCUCGAGUGGCGAACGGGUGAGUAACACGUGAGUACCCUGCCCUUGCCUUUGGGAUAACUUCAGGAAACUGGGGCUAAUACCGGAUAGGAGCUCCUGCUGCAUGGUGUGGGUUGGAAAGUUGCGGCGGGUGGGGAUGGAAUCGCGGCUUAUCAGCUUGUUGGUGGAGUAGUGACUUAGCGAGGCUUUGACGGGUGGCCGGCCUGAGAGUGUGACCGGCCACAUUGGGCCUGGGGUACGGGCCAGACUCCUACGGGAGGCAGCAGUGGGGGAUAUUGCACAAUGGGCGGAAUCCUGAUGCAGCAACGCCGCGUGCGGGAUGACGGCCGUCGGGUUGGAAACCGCUUUCGCCUGUGACGAAGCGUGAGUGACGGUAAUUGGUAAAGAAGCACCGGCUAACUACGUG
rnacentral:rRNA from 1 species